GACGAACGCGGGGGCGUGCUUAACACAUGCAAGUCGAACGGCCCUGCCUGCCUUUGUUGGGGUGGUUGAGUGGCGAACGAGUGAGUAACACGUGAGUAACCUGCCCUCUUCUCUGGGAUAACUGCUUGAAAGGGCGGCUAAUACGGGAUGUUCUGGCUGCCUCGCAUGGGGUGGUUUGGAAAGAUUCGGCCUGGUUUUGGUUGUUUUGGUGGGGGAUGGGCUCGCGGCUUAUCAGCUUGUUGGUGGGGUGAUGGCCUACCAAGGCGGUGACGGGUAGCCGGCCUGAGAGGGUGGACGGUCACACUGGGACUGAGACACGGCCCAGACUCCUCGGGAGGCAGCAGUGGGGGAUUUUGCACAAUGGGCGCAAGCCUGAUGCAGCGACGCCGCGUGAGGGAUGGAGGCCUUCGGGUUGUGAACCUCUGUCGCCGGUGAUGUAGGCUCUGCUUUGUGGGUGGGGUUGACGAGCCGGGAUGAAGGCCGAUC
rnacentral:rRNA from 1 species